ensembl:lncRNA ZNF213-AS1 ZNF213 antisense RNA 1 (head to head)
AGGCGAGGCUCUGCAUCUAGAUUUACCUCGUUCUCUUUUGUCUCCGCUUUUUUUUCACAUUUCCUUGCGACCCUGGCCCUUGAGCGACAAAAAGGGGAAGCCAAGGCUGGCCCGAGGAACGGAGAGGGCACAUGGCCUAGCCACAAGUGGAGCUUCUGCUCCGCCCGAAGGGAUGCGCUGGAGCGGCCUCUUCCUUCUGCCACGGUCUUUCUUUGCCAACUAAUAUGCUUCUACGUACACCUUUAUUCAUUUGCUUGAACAUUUCCCUGAGAAAAACUAGAAAUGGAAUUGCCAGAUUACUUUGUGUACAUGUUUCCAAACUGUCCUCCAGAAAGAAUGUAAUGCUUUGAACUUCCACUUGAGAAUCAAAUGUUUACCUUCCUCUGUUCCUCCAGAUUUGGACAUUUACAGUGUUCAGCCGUUGUUGUGGCAUUCCAAUUCAAUUGGGAAACAGCUUGAUGUAGCGUCCCCAUAAGGUCCACAGUAAUUAAAUUUUUUUUUUUUUUUUUUGGUGCGGUAGUGCAAUUUCAUGGCUCACUGCAACCUCCACCUCCCAGGUUCAAGCGAUCCUCCCAUCUCAGCCUCCCUAGUAGCUGGGAUUACAGGUGCACGCCACCACACCAGGCUAAUUUUUGUAUUUUUAGUAGAGAUGGGGUUUCACCAGGUUAGCCAGGCUGGUCUUGAACUCCAGACCUCAAGGGAUCCGCCUGCCUCAGCUUUCCAAAGUGCUGGGAUUACAGGUGGAGACUGGACCUCAGAAGAGGGAGUGGGUGCCCCGAGAACUCACAGCUAGCGGACAGUGGAAAGGGCAGGAGCCGGACCAAGGUGAGGACAGUGGAACUGAAGGCCGCUGGUUACCUCUCCUGCCCUCCGCUGGCCACAGUGGAGAAGACAGCCCCUCCCUCCUGCUCUGACCUGACAGUGUUCAUCCAUCGCCCUGUAUUAGCGAAGAACAACAUCAAGCUGGCUAGCAAGGAACUGUAUACAGGGUCCAGCUGGGUAUCACACUGGAUCUCACCCAAAGCUUAGAUGUGAUCCAGCUCAGUAUCACAAAGCAGAACGAAAAGGAUGUGUUUGGGCUGAGAGGCCAUACAUUGGCUCCGGCAUGACGGGUGACUUCUUCCGAGUCUGGCUUCUGCAGCACACAGGGCUUCGCCAGCACCCAGCUCCUGCAGCAUGGGCAGCUCCUGUGACAGCAGGCGCCCGCAGCCUGCAAAGCGUCUCCAGUGCCGCCGCCUCAGUGAACCUCAACCAGCGGCACCUAGCAGCUUUCUCUGCCACCCUCUUCAGGUAGUUCUGUAGCAGCGCGUUUCUCAUGAGACACUUCCCUGUGAGCAGCUUUUUCUACCCUUGAGGAUGGAUUUCCAGCAAAUUCUGCCCAUGUGGUACCACAGCCACUUCUCUGCCAUUCAGUGAAACUGCCGUUGUGCCCUCUUCAAGGUCUGGAUCUAAGCCCAGGGACCAGGAAACCUCUUGCUUGAGUGCUGGAACUCAGGCCAGAAGGUAUGGCUGCUGCUAUGUGCUGUGACCAGAGAAUCAGAGUUCUCUUUACUUCUUACCAGCCAACCUCUUGAAAAUGCCUUUUUGUUUUUUGUUUUUUUUUGAGACGGAGUCUCGCUCUGUUGCCCAGGCAGUGCAGUGGCUCACUGCAACCUCCGCCUCCUGAGUUCAAGUGAUUCUCCUGCCUCAGCCUCACAAGUAGGUGGGAUUACAGGCAUGUGCCACCACGCCCAGCUAAUUUUGUAUUUUUAGUAGUGACGGGGUUUCUCCAUGUUGGUCAGGUUGGUCUCAAACUCUCGACCUCAGGUGAUCCACCUGUCUCAGCCUCCCAAAGUGCUGGGAUUACAGACGUUAGCCAGAGCGCCCAGUCUAAGCCCUUUAUAGCUUAA